rnacentral:lncRNA from 1 species
UGUAUUCUGUUCAUGCAGACCUUGACAGUAAAAUCCUUGGCAUUAGCUACAUUCAAUUCAUUGCGCAGCUUCUUUACUUCAUUGACUCUAGCAGUAUAGGAAGCAUUGUCUCAUAUGGACUGCCCUUUGCUGGGCACCCCAAGAACAUAAUGCACAACUUCCUUGGUAAUCUUCAGCUCCUUCCCAGGUCCAACUCUGAGUGCCAUUGUGUUGGGGUCAAUGUGGUCGUAUAACCACUUGAGGAGUGAAGGGGGGCUGCUGCUCGUCAGUUUAAUGUCAAGCAAGCUCGAAAGGUUAUAAUCACGGACAAAAACCCGCCUUUGUUCUUCACUGAGAAUUGUCAUCAUCCCCUGCCACUUCAUCCGGUGCGCAACGGAUAUUCCACCGUGGGGCCUGCGUAAAAAGAUGCUAAUGUUUUGCAUAAAAACUUAAUCGGAGAAAAAUGGUACCUUAUGAGAAGUGUCACAAAUAAACACAUUUUGUAGCCGUGUGAUCUAUGAUGUAUAAAUGUAAUUAUAUUCUUCAGUUAAACCAUAUGUAUCUAAAUUCAGUCCCAUGUAAAAACAAACUGAAAAACAUCCUACUAGCCAUGUAUUACUAGAUUUUUAUGCAUACAUUGUAGGAUGUUCGUACGUAUUUUGUCCCAGGAAAAAGAAAACCUCUCCCCACCCCCUGUGUAUAAAAACUCUGUCCUAUCUGACCACACAGGACAAUGUGUACUGUCGCGGGUGUUUCUCUCUACUUUUUAUGCAUAGUAACAUCAGUUUAUAUACAUUAGUGCAGAAAAAAGCUUUCCAGAAAAAAGGCCUGAUUAAAAAAAGAUAUACUAAUGCUUUGCAUACAACUUAAUUGGAGAAAUGGUACGUUGUGACAAACGGAAUAAAAAAGAAAAACAAACUGAAAAUAUCAUACUAGCCAUGUAUUUCUUGGUUUGUAUGCAUACUAGGUGGGGGAGUGUUCAUACGUAUUGGUUGCGGGAAUAAAAAAAUCUCUUCUCAGUGUAUGAAAAUUCUAUCCUAUCUUGACACACUGAACAAAAGUGUGCUGCCAUGGGGUAUUUCCCCCCCCCCCCCUUCUCUGAUUUUUAUGCAUAGUAUCAACAGUUUUUAGAUACAGUAGUGGAACUUGCGUAGAAAAAAGUGUAGCCGAAAUACUUAUAGAGCCACUAGGUUUUUCAACCCUUGCAGUGCGUCGUGCCUUUUUUGCCUCUUGUGAAGGAUGUGCUUGCAU